rnacentral:tRNA from 1 species
GGAGAGGUGCGAGAGUGGCCGAAUCGGGCGGUCUCGAAAACCGUUGUCCCUUGCAAGGGGGACCGUGGGUUCGAAUCCCACCCUCUCCG